rnacentral:lncRNA from 1 species
UGGGGUGGAGCAAGUGGACAAAUUGGACUCGCAUUUCUCAUCGAACGAAUACACGAAAAGAAUCAUGCUGAAAACUUCCAAACAAACAUGUCAUCAACAGUCUUAAUCACCUCCUGAGCCAUCACAGGAUUCUUAACCCACUGCAAGAAGAGAAAUUGACACUAAAUCAAAAGAAGUAAUGAAUUGCGCAAGACUAUUCAGUUAAAAAGAGGUCAUUUACAAAUUAUCAAUACAGGUUAAAGAACACAAGAAUUUCACCAACUCAUUUUUCAUCUUCAAUAUACAAAUGAACGAACAAAAUCAAGAUAUACGUAUUCUUGACUAAAUGGAUAGUCAUAUUUUCUCAUAGUAAUCUAUUAGACAACAAAAUCAUGCAUUGGCAAUAUUCAGUUUAUCCAUCAUAAAUAUAAAGGUAAUGACAAUGGGCAUCAACGAAGAGAUUAUAAGCAAUAGUCAAGGGGAAAGUGGCAGAUGAUUACUUUCUCAUCAAGGAAGACAAUUAUGAGCACAAGAAGCCAGUUGAUCCAAUCAAUAUAAGGUGCAUAAGUAAAAUCUAUUAGGUCAUAUUCGGCUAAGCUAAAUUAUUGCUUAGGAGUAAGUAUACUAGUAAAAAAUAAGUUGUACGUCAAAGCUGAAAAUGAAUAACUUUAUUUGAAAGUGACCCUUCAGUGUCAAAAUAAAUAACUUUUCUUAUACAAGUGGGAAAAUCUGCCCAAUAAGGAAAUCAGGGAAUUAUUGUAUUAAUGGUAUACAAUCCCGUAAUUUAAGAGAUAUCACAAUCCCUUAAUUAAAGGAAUAUCACAAUCCCUUAAUUAAGGGGAUUUAUGUUAGGAUAGUUUUCUAUUUUAUUUGUUCUCUGUAAGUAUAUAAAUUCAAUGAUUGUACAGCAUUAUUAUUAUGAUUACGUAGAAGAAUAAUACUUCAAUUCUUCACAUGGUAUCAGAGCUUUAAGCUUCUGGGAAUUACUCUCUGUUUUUUCACUUGUUGGCCUUCAUUGCCCAGUAUUUUGUUCAGCCUUUAUUGCUGAUUUUUUUCCGUUCUUUCUCUAAAUCAUUUUGAAAAUCUAAAGUUCUUUGUUCUUCCUUCGGCCACUCUCGUUCUUGAUUUAACCACAGUUCUUUCUUGAUCUUCCCAAUGGCCAUGGCAGAAAUCAUUGACAGCACUAACUCCUCUGAGACGCAGACUGUGGAAACAAAACCUGCUUCAUCUUUAGGAGAGUUACAGAAUCUGCAAGCAGCAUAUAAAUUGAAUGGAAAGAAUUACCUAAAAUGGUCACAGCUGGUUAGAACGUUCUUGAAAAGGAAAGGCAUGUUGAGUCGCUUGGUGCAGGGCCUAUAGCAGGAAAUCCUGGAUUUGAUGCUUGGGAUGAGGCGGACUCUAUGGUGAUGACAUGGCUAUGGAACCCAAUGCUACCGGAGAUCAGCAAUUCAUGUAUGUUCCUAACCACUGCAAAGGAGAUUUGGGAUGCCGUUGGACAAACCUAUUCCAAGGUUCAUGAUGCUGCUCAGAUAUAUGAAAUCAAGAUUAAAAUUUCAGCCACCAAGCAAGGAGAACGUACUAUCACAGAAUAUGCCAAUCUCAUGAAAAAUCUGUGUCAAGAAAUGGACCAUUAUCAAUGUAUUAAACUGAAAUGCAGUAAUGGUGCAGCCAUGGUGAAAAGACUGGAAGAAAAUGACAGGAUUUAUGAUUUCCUUGCAGGACUAAAUAUGGUGUUUGAUCCAGUCAGAGUCCAAAUUCUUGGAAAGGAUGAUUUGCCCUCAUUAAAUGAGACUAUUGUGAUAAUCAGAGCAGAAGAAGGACGGAGGGGAGUAAUGGUGGAACCACAGGCCGUCGAAGUGUCAGCUAUGGUCUCAAAAAUGACCGGUUUUAAAAAACCCAGUCCAAACCAACCAACCGUGAGCAUGAAUGAGGAAUUGAACAUGUCUAAAGCAACAAACAAAGAUGAAUUAUGGUGUACGUAC